rnacentral:lncRNA from 1 species
GUGGCACUGUUAUCGGGGCUUUGGCAGCAUCCCAGAGUGUUGGAUCCUGCUGCCAAUUUCAGAUCCAGUGAGCAGACCCCUGGGGUCAGAUGUCUCUGAGCAGGGCCGCCGAACCAGAAACAACCCCUAACCUACCCUGGACAGUGGAUGGAGGUGGAACUGUUACUGGGGCCUCAAUUUCAGCAAUGUGAGAGCGAUCACCUUCGGGAUGGUGGAAGGCUGAAACUGGCACCAUCUUCUGGUGAGGCGCAUCACAGCUCUCCACAAUCUAAAGCGGAUGGUGUCCAGCCCUGUCCUGAGUCAUACAGAGUGACACAUUGAAUUGAUUCUAUCCCCGCCUCUGUGGAAGGAAUCACUGUCUCACCAAGGCCUACGACUGAACCUGAUGCUUCUGAGGUCUGCGGGCUUGUCUUGAAGGAGUUUGGCUCAGUGCUUGGCUGUGGAUCUCUACUUCUGCUUCCAGUACCUACUGGAUGAAGGCUCUAGGAUGGCAUUUAAGGCACGAGCUGCACCACACCCUCUCUGCCAUGGUGGACUGAAAUGUCUGAAAUGUUGGGGAAUGAGUUCCAGGUCUGGGAGCCCUGGUUAGGAUCCUGCCUCUUUGGGAAAUGGCAGAUCAAUGUGUCCUCAUUCAGAGAGAAGGUGAAAACACUGGGACAAAUUUAUACUUCAGAAACCAUUCUUCUGCAUGUUUAAUGCAAAGCCAGGCUUGAUGGUGCAUGUCUGUAAUCCCAGUGCUGGAGAAACUGAAGUGGGAAGAUUGCAAACUCAAGACCAAUCUGUCCAAAAAAACAGAGAUUGACAAAAUAAUUCAUAUGCUUAAUUCAAGUAUUAACUUCCCUCUUUUGUAUAUGACAUAUAUAGAGUUUUUAAUCAACUGGAUAUCAAAUAUCCUUUGUUGUCUGUUGAUAAAUGUUGUUCAUAUUUAUAAAGAAAUGUGAUGAGAGUG